UUGAACGCUGGCGGCAGGCCUAACACAUGCAAGUCGAGCGGAUGAAGGGAGCUUGCUCCUGGAUUCAGCGGCGGACGGGUGAGUAAUGCCUAGGAAUCUGCCUGGUAGUGGGCGAUAACGUCCGGAAACGGGCGCUAAUACCGCAUACGUCCUGAGGGAGAAAGUGGGGGAUCUUCGGACCUCACGCUAUCAGAUGAGCCUAGGUCGGAUUAGCUAGUUGGUGGGGUAAAGGCCUACCAAGGCGACGAUCCGUAACUGGUCUGAGAGGAUGAUCAGUCACACUGGAACUGAGACACGGUCCAGACUCCUACGGGAGGCAGCAGUGGGGAAUAUUGGACAAUGGGCGAAAGCCUGAUCCAGCCAUGCCGCGUGUGUGAAGAAGGUCUUCGGAUUGUAAAGCACUUUAAGUUGGGAGGAAGGGCAGUAAGUUAAUACCUUGCUGUUUUGACGUUACCAACAGAAUAAGCACCGGCUAACUUCGUG
rnacentral:rRNA from 1 species